GCAGUGGUGGGUUGGUGGUAGAAUUCUCGCCUUCCAUGCAGGAGACCCAGGUUUGAUUCCUGGCCAAUUCA
rnacentral:tRNA from 1 species